rnacentral:rRNA from 1 species
AGCGGCCAUAGGAGUGGCGUAACACCCAGUCCCAUUUCGAACCUGGAAGUAAAGGCCACUUACGACUUUGCUGGUACUGCCAUCUGGCGGGAAAGCGGGUUGCUGCU